AUUGAACGCUGGCGGCAGGCCUAACACAUGCAAGUCGAGCGGUAGCACAGAGAGCUUGCUCUCGGGUGACGAGCGGCGGACGGGUGAGUAAUGUCUGGGAAACUGCCUGAUGGAGGGGGAUAACUACUGGAAACGGUAGCUAAUACCGCAUAACGUCGCAAGACCAAAGUGGGGGACCUUCGGGCCUCAUGCCAUCAGAUGUGCCCAGAUGGGAUUAGCUAGUAGGUGGGGUAAUGGCUCACCUAGGCGACGAUCCCUAGCUGGUCUGAGAGGAUGACCAGCCACACUGGAACUGAGACACGGUCCAGACUCCUACGGGAGGCAGCAGUGGGGAAUAUUGCACAAUGGGCGCAAGCCUGAUGCAGCCAUGCCGCGUGUAUGAAGAAGGCCUUCGGGUUGUAAAGUACUUUCAGCGAGGAGGAAGGCGUUAAGGUUAAUAACCUUGGCGAUUGACGUUACUCGCAGAAGAAGCACCGGCUAACUCCGUGCCAGCAGCCGCCGCCGUAA
rnacentral:rRNA from 1 species